ACCUCCAUAAGGCGAGGCUGAGCGCAGACGGCUCUACUCCAGCCAAAAAUGAUAGAAUAAAAACAAAUCUCAGUCAAGCACUUAUGCAAAUAAGUGGAGUGCACUACUGGGACGAGGGGUUACUGACCCAAACCGGGACUCAAAUCUACAUCAGUGGCCUUAACGCACGACGUUCCACAAUACCAUAACAAAAUGCAAGGGCAACGUGGGCUAGAGCUUGUGCAAGCUGGACGGCCCCGAGCGCCAGUCCGGCGACACCCACAACAAAAUUAAACAAGGGACUCAAGGUAAAGAGACAAAAAGGGGCAUUCACGGCAGUGACCCUGACUGAAUUGGGGGCGCCGAAUGGAGGGCAAGCUCAAUAAAUCGUAUGAUGACCGGUCUCCUCGCACGCCCCCAAAAGAAAACAAUUGAAAAAAAUAAUAAUAAUAAAACGAGUCAAGACCUAUCAUGGCCAAUUGAAAAAAAUAAUAAUAAUAAAACGAGUCAAGACCUAUCAUGGCUUUGGCGUAGGAAAAGAAGCACAAUAGCGUGUUGUCGAUCGCGGCUUGGAUGUGACCUUUGCCCUGCUCCCGCCUUUGUUUUGCUUCGUAUUUUAUUUGCAGAGAUGCGAGGGAGAGGAAGACCAAUGUGUUGAUUGGGUCAAUGGGGAAAGGAAUGGGGCGUGCCCGUGCGGAGGGGAAAGAAGAGAAAAAAGGAGGCUGGGCGUGGGGAAGGGAGAUCG
rnacentral:lncRNA from 1 species